ACCGCUAGGGCCUGGGCAUCACAGGCAGGGGGAAUGGGGAGGGGACGGUAGCGUCAGCCUACACCCACACGCAGGUUAGAGCCUUGGACGGGGAAGCGGAAAAGGCUUAGCAGCUACUAAUGGGUUCUAUUAAUAGUAGUAGUGUUAGGUAGGCUGCACUGGCUGUAUUCUGCCCCCAUGCCUAUCAUUCCCUCACUCUGUGACCCUGGGCGAGUCUCUUCCUCAUCCUGGUGCUCAGUUGCCUUUUCAUAAAGAAAGGGUUGAUUCCCCAUGAUCUGUUGACUCCUUUGCUUUUGGAUAUUUUGGAAGACGCCCUGCGUCACGGGCUAGUUAAUUGUGAACGUCAGGGAAAGCACCAGAGUAGAGAAGCACUUCCAGGAUCCAGAGCCAGGAGGAUGCUCAAAAGGAAGGGAGGAGAGAUGCCCUUCGGCCAAAGGGAGAGCUUGGAGGGUGAGGGGAAGUGGUUGCUUACCAGAAGGGCCUCGGAGUGUGAACUCAAAAGAUAGAGGAUGGCCGAGCGUGGAGGCUCAUGCCUGUAAUUUCAGCACUUUGGGAGGCCGAGGCGGGCAGAUCACUUGAGGACAGGAGUUCGAGACCAGCCUGGCCAAUAUGACGAGACCCCAUCUCUACUAAAAAUACAAAAAUUAGUCAGGCGUCAUAGCAGGCACCUGUAAUCCCAGCUACUUGGCUACUUGGGAGGCUGAGGCAUGAGAAUCACUUGAACCUGGGAGGUGGAGCUGCAGUGAGCCGAGAUUGCACCACUGCACUCCAGCCUGGGCGACACAGUGAGACCCUGUCUUAAAAAAAUAAUAAUAAUAGAGGAAGCGUUUUGGUCCACUGUCCACUCACACAGGGUUAGGCGGAGAGGAAAAAGCUACUGAGACUGAAGAAUGCCCUUUAACCCCACUUACUGGUUGUUUUGAUUCUUUCCUGUAGUUUCCUGAUAAAAGGUCCUUUGGAAACUUUGAUUCUCUUCUCACCAAGUUGAACGGAGAUGUGUUCCCAUAGUAAGAGUGAGGCCCCUGCAUUUGCUGCCCUCGGUUUUCCCAACUAACACCAGGGCCUCCCCCCUGUACCCCAUUCAUAUGCCUCAGAAGCUGACAAUGACUGUUGGGCUUUUCCAAUGAAUACCAGAACACCAUUUCCUGCAGCCUGAAAAGAAGACAGUAUAAUUGUUUGGCAGCAAGAGAAUCCAGGUGCCCUUCCAUGAGAAGCCCAAGCCAUGUGGAGAAGCCACGUCUAGGGACUCCAGUUAACACUCUCAGCUGAGUCCCCAGCUGACAGUCAGCAUCAACUGCCAGCCACCUCUGUCUAAAAGUGGGCUAUCUUGGGCAUCCAGCCCAGUCAAGCCUUCAGAUGAGUCCAGUCCCAGCCACUAUCUCACACAACCACACGAGAGACAUCAAGAACUCCCAGUGGAGUCCAGUCAGCCCAUGGAACUGCAAGAGACAGGAUCUCGCUGCGUUGCUCAGACUGGUCUCGAACUCCUGGGCUUAAGGGAUUCUCCUGCCUCAAUCACAGCCUCCCAAGUAGCUGAGAUUAAAAGUGCUCACCACCGUGCCAGCGAGUUCAGUUUUUGAGGGUGGAGCCAAGACUCUGAGGAGAGGGCUGAACUGUGAACCUAGAAGUACCAUCUCCCCCUGCACACACCUUUGGUCAAGUUGACCCCAAGAAGAAGGACAAGUCCUCUGCACGGCGAUGAGGCCAUACACACAGUCUGUGGCCCGGCUUUGGGAGACUGAUGGGACAAAGGAUGUUUUGCACGAUCCUUGGUCUCUGAGCAAAUAUAUACAUGGGUUAACA
rnacentral:lncRNA from 1 species